rnacentral:rRNA from 1 species
GACGAACGCUGGCGGCGUGCUUAACACAUGCAAGUCGAACGGAAAGGCCCCUUCGGGGGUACUCGAGUGGCGAACGGGUGAGUAACACGUGGGCAAUCUGCCCUGCACUUCGGGAUAAGCCUGGGAAACUGGGUCUAAUACCGGAUAGGACCUUUAGGCGCAUGUCUUUAGGUGGAAAGCUUUUGCGGUGUGGGAUGGGCCCGCGGCCUAUCAGCUUGUUGGUGGGGUGAUGGCCUACCAAGGCGACGACGGGUAGCCGGCCUGAGAGGGUGUCCGGCCACACUGGGACUGAGAUACGGCCCAGACUCCUACGGGAGGCAGCAGUGGGGAAUAUUGCACAAUGGGCGCAAGCCUGAUGCAGCGACGCCGCGUGGGGGAUGACGGCCUUCGGGUUGUAAACCUCUUUCACCAUCGACGAAGGUCCGGGUUUUCUCGGAUUGACGGUAGGUGGAGAAGAAGCACCGGCCAACUACGUGCCAGCAGCCGCGGUAAUACGUAGGGUGCGAGCGUUGUCCGGAAUUACUGGGCGUAAAGAGCUCGUAGGUGGUUUGUCGCGUUGUUCGUGAAAUCUCACGGCUUAACUGUGAGCGUGCGGGCGAUACGGGCAGACUAGAGUACUGCAGGGGAGACUGGAAUUCCUGGUGUAGCGGUGGAAUGCGCAGAUAUCAGGAGGAACACCGGUGGCGAAGGCGGGUCUCUGGGCAGUAACUGACGCUGAGGAGCGAAAGCGUGGGGAGCGAACAGGAUUAGAUACCCUGGUAGUCCACGCCGUAAACGGUGGGUACUAGGUGUGGGUUUCCUUCCUUGGGAUCCGUGCCGUAGCUAACGCAUUAAGUACCCCGCCUGGGGAGUACGGCCGCAAGGCUAAAACUCAAAGGAAUUGACGGGGGCCCGCACAAGCGGCGGAGCAUGUGGAUUAAUUCGAUGCAACGCGAAGAACCUUACCUGGGUUUGACAUGCACAGGACGCGUCUAGAGAUAGGCGUUCCCUUGUGGCCUGUGUGCAGGUGGUGCAUGGCUGUCGUCAGCUCGUGUCGUGAGAUGUUGGGUUAAGUCCCGCAACGAGCGCAACCCUUGUCUCAUGUUGCCAGCGGGUAAUGCCGGGGACUCGUGAGAGACUGCCGGGGUCAACUCGGAGGAAGGUGGGGAUGACGUCAAGUCAUCAUGCCCCUUAUGUCCAGGGCUUCACACAUGCUACAAUGGCCGGUACAAAGGGCUGCGAUGCCGCAAGGUUAAGCGAAUCCUUUUAAAGCCGGUCUCAGUUCGGAUUGGGGUCUGCAACUCGACCCCAUGAAGUCGGAGUCGCUAGUAAUCGCAGAUCAGCAACGCUGCGGUGAAUACGUUCCCGGGCCUUGUACACACCGCCCGUCACGUCAUGAAAGUCGGUAACACCCGAAGCCAGUGGCCUAACCCUUGGGAGGGAGCUGUCGAAGGUGGGAUCGGCGAUUGGGACGAAGUCGUAAC